UCCUUCCUUUCUAUAGCAAAGUAGCACGUGUGUAUCUACCACAAAUCUACAGGCAAAUAGACUUGUUCCUGUUCACUUGUCCUUGCAAUGAAGCAUCUGCUCACUGGUUUUUUGUUUGUUUGUUUGUUUGAUCGGUUUGGAUUUUUUGGCUGUUGGUAUAUUUUUGCCCAAAUGCUCCAAUUCAAAACAUUAUCCUACCAUCUUUUUUAGUUGGUCAUUCCUCUUGUCCUUGUGGCUACAUCUCUACAGUCUCAUUAACAAACUAGUUCUGUGAGCCCUUAACACUGAGGCCCCUCGUCUGCAGCUGGAGGCAGCUCUCUGCUCAGCCUGCAGUACAGAGUGACACAGCCAGGCGACAUAGUCACUGAGCACUAACUUCUAUUAAAUCCAGGCAGACUGUGAGAACCAUAUCGGAACUGCGUCAAGACAUGAGAGAAGCGAAGGUCUGGCUGGGGUCACAAAAACUGAGCGGCAAGUAUUCUCAUAUUCUACCUUGAGGGGCUCUAUCCAGUCAUGUAACUCCUGCAAAGAAGGGCCUAGAAUCAGCUUUGCAAUUCUUGCCCACCAAGAGUCCAGCUCAUGUAAACCGCAGACCCAGACUUCAGCCAGAGGUAGGUUAAUAAAGAGGGGGGCAGCUUUUUCUGGAAA
rnacentral:lncRNA from 12 species